GGAAGGAUCAUUAACACUAAUCCACACAUCUCAACUUAGCCUUAAGUGUACCUUCGCAAAGACUAGCGCAAGCAGGUUUGAGCGAGUGGUGCAUAUUAAAACUAAUCACGCAAAGGAGCCUAACUAAGCUCAUUUUCUAAAACCAAAUUUUCAACGAUGGAUAUCUUGGUUCCCAUAACGAUGAAGAACGCAGCGAAGUGCGAUAAGCAAUGCGAAUUGCAGAACCGUGAGUCAUCAGAUCUUUGAACGCAAUUGGCGCCGGUUGGUCACCCAGCCGGCAUGCUUGUUUCAGUGUCUCAUUUUCUCCUAACCCAAAUCAUAAUGCGAGAGAUACCCUUCUCUUGUUAAGUACGCAAGCGCUCUGAGCUCUGCAGGCGAACCGCUUCGGUGGAUCGCACUCAAUGCAGCAGUCACAUUUUACAAUGUGAACUCAUUGAGAGCCGAGUCAGCGUAUCUCGUAUACAAGCGCUUAGAGCUUCAAACUCUUCUUGUAUCUGAAAUCAAGCAGGAUCACCCGCUGAACUUAAGCAUAUCACUAAGCGGAGGAGAAGAAAUUAACUAAGAUUGCCCCAGUAACGGCGAGUGAAGCGGCAAAAGCCCAAAAUGGAAAUCUUCACACUGCGUGUGACGAAUUGUAAUCUAUAGCUUGGAAUCUCACCUUCCGGUUGCGCAGAAGUGCCUUAGAACGGGCCGCCAGAGAGGGUGAGAGCCCCGUAUGUGGUGCAACUGGAUAACGAGAUCUAAGUAAAGAGUCGGGUUGUUUUGAAAUGCAGCCCUAAUCUAGGGGAUAGACUUCCUCUAAGGCUAAAUAUUUAUGGGAAACCGAUAGCGAACAAGUACUGUGAAGGAAAGAUGAAAAGAACUUUGAAAAGAGAGUCAAAAGACUUGAAAUCGUUGAGAAGGAAGCGGUAGAAAUUUAUUCUUCCGUAGGUAAUGAUGGUGUUCGGCUUGAGUAUCUUGGGGCGCCAGUACGUUAAAGGCUGGUCUCUUCGCGUGCUUAACCGAUAGCUGGAUUCCCUGCGGUGAGGCAAAAUAGGGUUUCGUUCCCACAAAAGCUGGGUUGGCUUGGCUGGGUUCGCCUAGCAGCCGACUUGUGUUCGUGGGCGCGGAUCUCGAGGACGUUUCGUACGAUUUUGCCAAAAUGGUUUUUACCGACCCGUCUUGAAACACGGACCAAGGAGUCUAUCAACCAUGCGAGUGUGCUGGUGCAAAAACCAACACGCGUAAUGAAAGUAAUUGAUGCCAAGCGCAAGCAGCAGCAUCGACCGACCAUGAUCCUCAGGUGAAAGGUUUGAGUAUGAGCAUGAUUGAUAGGACCCGAAAGAUGGUGAACUAUGCCUGUGUAGGGUGAAGCCAGGGGAAACUCUGGUGGAGGCUCGUAGCGGUUCUGACGUGCAAAUCGAUCGUCGAACAUGGGUAUAGGGGCGAAAGACUAAUCGAACCAUCUAGUAGCUGGUUCCCUC
rnacentral:misc_RNA from 1 species